GCCCCACCUACCACCCUGAACAUGCCCAAUCUCUUCUGAUCUUGGAAGCUAAGCAGGGUUGGGCCUGGUUAGUACUUGGAUGGGAGGACAGCUAUUUUGAAUUUUUGUCUGAAAGGUCA
rnacentral:rRNA from 1 species